GAGGCGCUAGUAAAACAUUACAUGGCCCUGUCAGUGCCAAAUUAUAGGGCCUCGCCCCUAUGCAUCUCA
rnacentral:tRNA from 1 species